AUGUUUUUGGACAAAUUUAAACGGCUGAAUUUUACCAAAAAUCCAGAGAAAUACAUUAAAUACUCUGUGCAAGAUGUAGCUGAAGUGGUCGACAAACUGUUUGAUAUGUCUGCUUGAUAUUGAUAUUCUAUUAUUUCUGUAAAUGUGAUUGCUUAUUAAUUUAAAAGAAACUCAUUUAUUUUUUUUAAAGAAGUUUUAACUGAGCUUAAUGAGCUUAACUUUUUUUUCUUCAACUUUUUAAACUUAAUGUUCAGAGAAAUGGACAAUUUUCAUUUUCUUUUUCAUAUAUAUAUGUUUAGGAUCCGAAUUAAGCUCCUCUACUUUUGUCCAGUGACAUAAAUAGCUUGACCAUCAAAUAUGUUAAGGACAGAAUUCAUUUCUCCCAGAAUUUAGGCUUCUAGUCAAUGCUAUAUGUUAAGUACAAUUUGUUUGAUAUUUAAAUUUGUAAUUCAAUUGAAUUAUUUAUAUGGUGCAAGAGUCUCAUCACCAGGAGAUAAUUUUGCACACAUGUAUUUGUUUAUUUUUUUUAUAUGUGAUGUAUUUGUGCAAUACUUUGAAUAUCAUUAAAAACCUAUUAUUGUUCUACCGUAAAUAAAACUGAGAACU
rnacentral:misc_RNA from 1 species